GAUGAACGCUGGCGGCGUGCUUAACACAUGCAAGUCGAACGAAGCAUAUGCGACGGAGUUUUUCGGAACAAAGAUGCAUAUGACUGAGUGGCGGACGGGUGAGUAACGCGUGGGUAACCUGCCUCACACAGGGGGAUAGCAGUUGGAAACGACUGGUAAUACCGCAUAAGCGCACGGUACCGCAUGGUACAGUGUGAAAAACCUUGGUGGUGUGAGAUGGACCCGCGUCUGAUUAGCUAGUUGGUGAGAUAAAAGCCCACCAAGGCGACGAUCAGUAGCCGACCUGAGAGGGUGACCGGCCACAUUGGGACUGAGACACGGCCCAG
rnacentral:rRNA from 1 species